rfam:TPA: Bos taurus chromosome 19, whole genome shotgun sequence.
UCCCUGCUGGUUCAGUGGCUAAGACUCUGUGCUCCUAAUGCAGGGGACCUGGGUUCAAUCCCGGGUCAGGGAA